AAUCCCAGAGAACGAUUUGCCCAGAUUGGGCAAGUGAUUUGCCCAAAUCACUCGCAGAAACUGCUCAAAUCACCUUGACAGCAGAAAUUGACAGCAGAGGCGGGAAAACAGUAGGAAACCAAAAUUCGAAUUUUCAGAAGUCCAAAUCCAACUCAAUCACUACCAACACAAUUCCAAGAGCCACGAAAGAGCUUCUCAACUAAGGAAUUCCAGUUGCAAUUAAACUCAACAUCAAAAGAGGAAUCACAAGCCAAAUUAAAAAGGGAUUUCAAAACCCUAGAAGGAUGGAAUUCUUCAGCUAUAAAAGAGCAACCUCCAAACCAGCAAGGGGCAUCUUCUGAUCAGCUACUCAACAUCUUCUCCCCUCGCCAGAAACUCUGCAGCUUCUUUCUUUCCUUUCUUUUCAUCUUUUGUGUAUUUAGUCCACCAUGAGUGGCUAAUUUCCUUCUUUUCUAGUUGAAGUUGGUGAAUUUCAGAUUUUGUGAUGAAUUGGGAGAUUUAAAUCUCCAUUGUUAAACUUCUAUUUAUUUUCAANNNNNNNNAGCUUUUCUCUUAUUGAUUUACUCAAACUUUAAAUUAUUGCUUUCUUUUGCUAUUUAAUUUUAAUCAUCAAAUCAAAACCCCCCUCUUUUAUUUAUUUGCUAUUCACCUAGUCAUUAUUAGGAAAAUCUUUGGUGUCAACUCCCUGUGGUUCGACCCUAUUGCCACUAUCUACAAAUUUAUUUGUUGAUUGAUAAUAGGUUUAUUUUUGACGGCUUCGACAACCGCUAUAAAAAAUUGGCGCCGUUGCCGGGGAUUUGAUUUAAACUAAUGUAUUUUCCCUUUAUGACCAGGUCUGGCCGUAAAGACUGUAACGACCCGAAAAUCGGACCGCUACCGACGCUAGGAUCCAGAUCGGCUUAAGGCCGCCGGAACCCGUAGCAAGCCUGACAUGCAACCUGUAAACCUGUUUAAUCCCAUACAUGAUCAACAAUCAUACGUAAAAAUUAAAAACUUUUCUGGCAUUCAUUCCUCAUACACCAAACUCAACCUGUGCAUGCACUAAACAUAGUCAUAAUCAUAAACUUGACCCCUCUGUGGGAUCUCAUCAAUGCCCCAAUGGGCAAUACAUCAUAAGUUGAGUUGGUUAAACAUAAACAUCAAUAGACAUUAAGAUCAUGUAUCAACAAGGGAUUACAAUAUACUAUGGUCAAGCACACUUUUAACCUCAAUAUCAUUACAUUACAUAUCUAUACGUCAUUAUACAAUUUGUUAUGUCCACAUUCUAACUAUUACAUUUACAAGACUUUACUCUUCUUGACUUCUCUGUCUAGCCCGUACCUGCAAUCCUGGGGGAUUAGGGAAAAGGGGUGAGCUACUAGAGCCCAGUGAGCAGAAUAAUAGAAAACAACAUUUAAAAAUCUCAUGCCAUCAUGUAAUGCAACACAUCACAACAAAUCAUAUCUCGGAUGGUAUUGUCACCAAUAGCCCUCUACAUUCCAAAAUGCCGGGACGUAGAAUGGGUACAACCGGUCUUUCUCUUAACAUAACAUAUCAUAACAUUCCAAUGUGCCAGAGACGUAAAAUGGGUACAACCUGGACUUUCUCUUACAUAGUGCCAGGGACGCAGAAUGGGUACAACCUGGACUUCCAUACCAUAUCAUGCCGUAACAUCAUCAUACCAUAUGAGGACUAAAGGAUCAUCCAAUAACCAAUCCACAUCAACAUCAUAAAUGCAAUGCAACAUAUUCGUGGAUUCUAAUGCAAACAACCUAUUUCAUCACAUGGCAUUCAUGAUGCAUGAACAUGCUCAACUGUAUGAUUCAUUUACUUUAAAACAUAAGGUUUAUUCUACUCACCUCUGGCUAGCUCUGACAAAGACUGAUGCAGCUAACUCACUGCUGGGGUCCUCGGUUCCUCGGGUCCGAACGUACACAGGUGGACUCAAAUGAGGGACCAAACAACUAGAACAUAACUCUAAAAAUAUCCCCCAAAAACCCCCUAAAACACCUCAAAACAAUCAUGCAAAAACAUGCAAAGGAAGGCUGGACAGGGCAGGUUCGGUGGCACCUUCGGCGGUCGAAAGUCCCUCCAGAGCCGAAAUCUAGGCAGGUUCGGCGGCACCUUCGGCGGCCGAAAGUCCCAGACAGAGACGAAAGUCUCUUUUCGGGGGCAACUUCGGCAGCCGAAAGGCCUGCCUCCCCAGCCAUGUUCGGCGGCCGAAAGUUCCUUCGGCUGCUGAACCUAGUUUCUGCCAAAGGGCAGAAACUUGGCUCCUCUAAGCACAUUUGCCUCCCAAAACUUCCAAUCAUGCAUUUAGCUCAACCAAAACAUGCAAAUAUACAUACAUUGGCUCCUAGGGGCUUCAAACUAACUUAAACCCCAACUACAACACACAACAACAACACAAAUCCAACAUACAUUGCUCAAAACAUAACAUUAACUCAAAAACCUAACUAUGAGCUAAACAUGCAUUCUACCCCAUAGAUCUUGCAUAAAACUUACUUUAAACAUGAAAUGAGCUUAAGAUCGGCUCUUACCUCUUGAAGAUCGAGAGAGAGACGUCCCAAACUCGGAGGUGGGAGAUUUUUGAGUUCUUGAACCUCAAAGCUCCAAAACUUGCUUUAAACUCGAAAAUCUUCAAAACAAAGCAAAAACUUGUGAAAAUCUUCAAAGAUUUGAAGGAAAAACUCAAGGAUGGUGAGAAACGGCGGAGAGCUCACCUUGGCCGACAAUGGGGAGAAAAACUCGCCCGUUUUUGGCUAAGGGACCCUUUUAUAGUGGCUGGCCAGGCCACGUUCGGGGGCCGAACGUGCCUCCGCAUGCAUGCCAUGUUCGGUGGCCGAACUUGAGGUUCGGCGGCCGAAUCUGGGCUUCCCUCACUUAUGCCUUCGGGGGCCUAAGGCUCACCCGAAAAGCAUGCAUGUUCGGCGGCCGAACCUGAGUUUCCUCCAAGGGUGUUUUUAUUCCAAAAACUCAUUUCCUCUUUAUUUAAAAUCAUCAAAACAUUAAAACAUUUCAUGAAAACAUGGUUUUACCCUUCUAGAGGUCUCCGACAUCCGAGAUUCCACCGGACGGUAGGAAUUCCAAUACCGGAGUCUAGCCGGGUAUUACAAAGACACUCUUCUUUACGACCCUGAAAUUGAGAAAACUGCCAAGCACUUGAGGAAGCAAGCAAAUUUGAGGAACCAAGCCUCAAAAGCAUCUUCAUCAACAACACCAUCUCAUAGAGCUGUUGUUAUACCUGCUGAUUUUUCUGCACCAGCAAAUUCACCUACCUCUACACCAGCUGAAGCACUUGCUGUCACAUCUGCUCCUGCUGCAGAAAUUUUUGCUCCAGCAGACUCUCCUACAGCCACUACUGCAUUUGAACCUGAUACCCGAUUCCAGGUUAUGGUAGAAAAUCCAGCAAUGGCGCAACAACCUGCUGUCCGUGAGGAAGCGGAACUUCAAGCUGGAAAUUUGCUUAUCCCUGUCCAAGCACCACAGCCACAGCCACGGGAAAGAACUCUCGGAGAGCUAGCUGAACCAGCAGGAGACCAAGCACCCUUAUGCAUUGAAUAUCCCCCUUUGACAGCGCCAUUUGAGUUAAAGACAGGCCUAAUCCAUCUCCUUCCCAAAUUUAGAGGCCUAGAAAAUGAGGAUCCUCACAAGCACUUGAAGGAAUUCCACAUUGUGUGCUCCUCCAUGAGACCUCAAGGUAUUACUGAAGAGCAUGUCAAGCUUAGAGCCUUCCCUUUUUCCCUUGAUGACUACGCCAAGGAAUGGCUAUUCUACUUACCACCGGAUGCAUCACAUCAUGGGCUGGUAUGGUGAGAGCAUUCUUGAGAAAAUUCUUCCCUACCUCAAAAGCCAUAGGCAUCCGUCGAGAGAUAAGUGGGAUAAAGCAAAAGCACUCUGAAGGCUUGUAUGAGUACUGGGAGAGGUUCAAAAAGUUGUGCACAAGCUGCCCCCAGCAUGAUAUUUCUGACCAAUCUCUCAUUGAGUAUUUCUAUGGAGGUCUGAUACCCGCAGAGAGAAAAUUUAUUGAUGCAGCCUGUGGAGGAUCCAUUGAGAAAAAGUCACCUAGAGAGAUGAGGGAAUUAAUUUCCACCAUGGCUGCAGCUUCUCAACAAUUUGGAGACCAAGAGCCACCAUCAAGGAGUGUAAAUGAGGUGAGUACAUCCAUUCUAGCAUCCCAAAUUUCUGAUCUCACCAAUGCUGUCCGUAGCCUUGUUGUGGGUCAAACCCAACAAGUUCAGCAGAUUCAGCAGCCCAAGUCAUGUGGAAUAUGUGCCAACAACCACCCAACUGAUCUAUGUCCUUCCCUUCAAGAGGAGGACCAACAAGUCAAUGUUGUUGGAGGUUUCAAUGGGCAAAGAAGGUAUGAUCCCUAUGCAAAUACUUAUAAUCCAGGUUGGAGGGACCAUCCAAAUUUCAGCUAUGCAAGAAGAAAUCAAUAUCCAAGCUACCAGCAAAGGAAUCAAGCUCAAGCUGCACCCAGAACUCCAAAGCACCUCUUGAAGAGAUUAUGCAGAAUUUAGCAAAUACUGUGCAAAGUCUUGAGAAACAAGUGAGUCAAAUGGCCUCUUCAAUGAGCAAAUAUGAGUCUCAAGGGAAGCUACCUUCCCAAACUGAGAUAAAUCCAAGACAAAAUGUUAGUGCUAUCACAUUGAGGAGUGGAAAAGAGCUGCAAGAUAAUAGGGCUGAAAAAUUGCAAAAACAGGCCAUUGAAAAAAAUCUGCCAGAAAGUGAUCAGGGCAGUCGAUUUGCCCAAAUCACCGACCCAAUCGCUAGGCAGAUUGAGCUGCCCAGCAGUGAUCUGCCCAAAUCACCAGAGAAGGUAGAGAUCGAUUUGCCCAAAUCAACAGAUCAGGCAGAGUCCAGCCAAAAGCAGAAAAUACAGCAACCAGCAGAAAAAUUCAAGGUACCUUACCCUUUUCCCAAAAGAUUUGUAAGAUCUCAAAAAGAAAAAGAGGAGAAAGAGAUACUUGAGACACUCCGCAAGGUAGAAAUCAAUAUACCUCUACUUGAUGCUAUCAAACAAAUACCAAGGUAUGCUAAAUUUCUCAAAGAGCUAUGCACCAAUAGGAGGAAACUUGCUGAACAUGAAAAGGUAAGUGUGGGGGAGUGUGUCUCAACUGUCAUUCAAAGGAAACUUCCCACCAAAUGCAAGGAUAGAGGAAUGUUCGCGGUUUCAUGCAAAAUAGGCAAUGUGGGGAUCAAGAAGGCCAUAUGUAACCUUGGAGCUUCAAUCAAUGUUAUGCCCCUUUCCAUUUUUAACUUGUUGAAUGCAGGUACACUCAAGGGCACCAGCAUUAUGAUCCAAUUGGCUGAUCGAUCCGUUGUCUACCCCAAGGGAGUACUAGAAGAUGUGUUGGUGCAAGUUGACCAACUAGUAUUUCAAGCAGAUUUCUAAGUAAUUGACAUGGAAGAAGACAAGAGCAACACAACCUCUGAUAUCUUACUUGGGAGACCAUUCUUAAGCACAGCAAGAACUAAAAUUGAUGUGCAUGAUGGCACAUUAACUAUGGAGUUUGAAGGGGAAGUUAUCAAGUUUAAUGUUUAUGAUGCCAUGAAAUUCCCCAAUGAUGUUUCUCCUGUUUAUGGCCUUGAUGUUAUUGAUGAUUUAAGUCAAGAGGUUUUUGAUUUUGAUCAAGAAAACUUACUUUAUGAAGGUCUUUGCAUGAGGGAAGAAGUGGACAACAACACCAAGACAGACCAGAUGGAGUACUGUUCACAACUGGUGGCGGGUGAUUUGCCCAAAUCACCAAACGAUUUGCCCAAAUCACUGGGGCAGACAGACACAACAGAGCCCGAUUUGCCCAGAUCACUAGAUGAUUUGCCCAAAUCACUGGCCAAAUCAGAUAGCAAACAGCAAAAAUCAGAGCAGACAGCAGAUACACCAGAUCUGAAAUCCUUGCCCAGCCAUCUCAAAUAUGCCUUUUUAGGGGCUGAAAAUACACUUCCAGUAAUUAUUUUUAACCAGCUCAGCCAAGAAGAAGAGGAAAAGCUCCUUGAUGUGUUGAGGAAGCACAAGAAAGCAAUUGGGUGGACCUUGGAGGACAUAAAAGGCACCUCAAUACCAUUCGGUGGAGGCUCAAGACAAGAUGCAGCACAUGGAAAGCAUGUUGCAGCUUCUGGUUCAACACUUUCUGCCCACAGACCAUGACAGCCAGUGAUUUGGCCGGGUGAUUUGCCCAAAUCACCUGCUCAAAUCACCCACAUCCCAGGCAGUCCCUUUCCUUCUCCUUAUUAAUUUUUUCAUAUUUAUGUUUAAACAUUGAGGACAAUGUUUGGGAUAGGUGUGGGGGUAUUUACUGUUAGGUUUAGGUUAUAUUUUUUCCGUUUACAUUAUCUUUUUGCUUUCUUUUUGUUUCUUUUUGCAUCUUUUUGCCCCAUAAACACACACCAAAAAUUUUUUUCACACAUUUUUCACUUUUUACACACACACACACAGAAUUUUGACUUAGCUUUUGCUCUACUCAGCAUAGAUAACAAGGUAAAAAAAGCUUCCUAUCUCAUGACCCCAUUGAUUUUUCUCCCCUUUAAGCCUAAAUUGAAUCAAUUAUAGUGUGCUACCUUCACUUUGGAAGUUCUUUUCUUGAAUUGAAUCUCUAAAUUUACAUUGGUCAAGGGAAAUAAAAAUAUAAAUACAUGCAAAUAAAAUGUUAGUAUAACUCCCUAUGAGGUGAUUUGCCCAAACUGUCAUGAAAAGAAAAGAAAAAGAAAAACCAGCACAAAGCACAAAUCAUAAAACCUGUUCCUAUGGCCAAAUAAGCUAUGAACAGAGCUAGUAGCCACUUGAACAAGUGACUAACUGAGUAACCGGGGGUGGGUAUCACCAAUAUGCACCUUCGCGUAAAAAGGUUAGUGACUUUUUCAGGCAAGAAUAAAAAAAGUGCUGCUGAAUAAAAUAAAAUAAAAUGCUCAAAGAAGGGCAAGUCACUCUUAGAGGUUGCAUUGAGCUUAUACAAAGAGAAUAAGCAUGAAUGAAUAAAAAACCUUUCCUUUGACCAUGAUAGGUAAGGGGAAACAAGGAAAAGAGAAGAACAACCUUGGUGCAUGUAUUCUAUACUGUGAUACUUCAAUUUAGGAGUCUAGGGGGGGCUGAUUAAGUGGUACUUAGGCUCAAAAGAAAAAGGAGCUUGAUUGAAAGUUAUUUGUUGCUUGAGGACAAGCAAAAAGCUAGGUGUGGGGGUAUUUGAUCAAGCAUAAUUUAGCCACAUUUUUAUGAUCUUUAUUAUUGUUUAUUUACACAUUAUUUAGCUUAAUUUAUGAUUUUUACCUUGUUUUUACAGAAAUUGGAAAAAUGGAGAAAAAGUGCAGAAAAUGACAGAAAAGUGAUUGGGUCAGUGAUUUGCCCAAAUCACUCGAAGAAACUGGUCAAAUCACUCGCAGAGACAGAGACAGAAACUGGACUGAAUCCCAGAGAACGAUUUGCCCAGAUUGGGCAAGUGAUUUGCCCAAAUCACUCGCAGAAACUGCUCAAAUCACCUUGACAGCAGAAAUUGACAGCAGAGGCGGGAAAACAGCAGGGAACCAAAAUUCGAAUUUUCAGAAGUCCAAAUCCAACUCAAUCACUACCAACACAAUUCCAAGAGCCACGAAAGAGCUUCUCACCUAAGGAAUUCCAGUUGCAAUUAAACUCAACAUCAAAAGAGGAAUCACAAGCCAAAUUAAAAAGGGAUUUCAAAACCCUAGAAGGAUGGAAUUCUUCAGCUAUAAAAGAGCAACCUCCAAACCAGUAAGGGGCAUUUUCUGAUCAGCUACUCAGCAUCUUCUCCCCUCGCCAGAAACUCUGUAGCUUCUUUCUUUCCUUUCUUUUCAUCUUUUGUGUAUUUA
rnacentral:lncRNA from 1 species